AGGGUUUGACAUACUGGUUUAAGCCUAUGCGAAAGCAUGGGGUGUUGUGGGGCUUGUCCCCACAUAACCAGUACAGGUGCUGCAUGGCUGUCGUCAGCUCGUGCCGUGAGGUGUCCGGUUAAGUCCGGUAACGAGCGCAACCCCUAUCACUAGUUGCCAGCAUUCAGUUGGGCACUCUAGAGAGACUGCCGGCGACAAGCCGGAGGAAGGUGGGGAUGACGUUGAACGGUUGGUU
rnacentral:misc_RNA from 1 species